rfam:Plasmodium yoelii yoelii 17XNL contig MALPY00336, whole genome shotgun sequence.
GCACGGGUGCCCGAGUGGUUAAGGGGGUGGACUUAAGAUCCUCUGGUCACUAGACCGCGUGGGUUCGAACCCCCACCUCGUGCA